rnacentral:rRNA from 1 species
GAAGGGGUGAUUGACGCUGAGGCACGAAAGCGUGGGGAUCAAACAGGAUUAGAUACCCUGGUAGUCCACGCAGUAAACGAUGAUAACUAACCGCUGGUUCUUUAGAGGAUCAGUGGCCAAGCGAAAGCGAUAAGUUAUCCACCUGGGGAGUACGACCGCAAGGUUGAAACUCAAAGGAAUUGACGGGGGCCCGCACAAGCGGAGGAACAUGUGGUUUAAUUCGAUGAUACGCGAGGAACCUUACCCGGGCUCGAACGGUACAGGAAGAGAUCAGGAGACUGUGACGUCCUUCGGGACCUGUAUCGAGGUGCUGCAUGGUUGUCGUCAGCUCGUGCCGUGAGGUGUCGGCUCAAGUGCCAUAACGAGCGCAACCCUUGCCGUCAGUUACCAUCAAGUUGCGUUGGGGACUCUGACGGGACUGCCACCGCAAGGUGUGAGGAAGGGGGGGAUGACGUCAAAUCAGCACGGCCCUUACGUCCGGGGCGACACACGUGUUACAAUGGGAGUUACAGAAGGGACCUACCUGGUGACAGGAUGGCAAUCUCCAAAAGCUCUCUCAGUCCGGAUCGGAGUCUGCAACCCGACUCCGUGAAGCGGAUU